rnacentral:rRNA from 1 species
ACGAACGCUGGCNGCNUGCUUAACACAUGCAUUUCGAACGGAGUUUAAGAGGAAGCUUGCGAAUCUUAAACUUAGUGGCGGACGGGUGAGUAACGCGUGGAUAACCUGCCUGAAUGACUGGGACAACACCGGGAAACUGGUGCUAAUACCGGAUACGCUCAUCAUUGCGCAGGCAAAGGUGAGGAAAGGAGAAAUCCGCAUACAGAUGGGUCCGCGUCCCAUUAGCUAGUUGGCGGUGUAAGAGACCACCAAGGCGACGAUGGGUAGCCGGCCUGAGAGGGUGGACGGCCACACUGGAACUGAGACACGGUCCAGACUCCUACGGGAGGCAGCAGUGGGGAAUCUUCCGCAAUGGGCGAAAGCCUGACGGAGCAACGCCGCGUGAGUGAGGAAGGCCUUCGGGUCGUAAAACUCUGUCUUCAGGGAAGAAAAAAAUGACGGUACCUGAGGAGGAAGCCCCGGCUAACUACGUGCCAGCAGCCGCGGUAAAACGUAGGGGGCGAGCGUUGUCCGGAAUUACUGGGCGUAAAGGGCGCGUAGGCGGUUAUUUAAGUCAGAGGUGAAAACUACCGGCUCAACCGGUAGCCUGCCUUUGAAACUGGAUGACUUGAGGGCAGGAGAGGGGAGUGGAAUUCCCAGUGUAGCGGUGAAAUGCGUAGAUAUUGGGAGGAACACCAGUGGCGAAGCGGCUCUCUGGCCUGU